CUCACUUUCACCAAAGACAACGUAUAUGAAUUCCGUGAGUGGAGGACGAGAGCGCCGGAGUUUAUGCGGUUAGAAGAAAUCUCUAGCAUAAAUUCU